rnacentral:sRNA from 1 species
GAUAGCAUUUUUAGAGAUUUAUUAAGCGAUUGAAACGGGUUAACACAGUUUCGGAUCCCAGAGGACUUUCAUUCGGGGUUGAGCCACUGUUACUGAAAGUCACGCUGCUGCUGGUCUCGCUCUCGUCUCUCGUAAAUUUCGAAGCGGUACCCUGAAACACAAUCCGAAAUUCAGCAACAGCCAAGGCAUUCUCCAAGGAAUAUAUUAAACUGUGUCUGUGAUCCUUGACGUCAGUCUCGUGCCACUCAUACCGAUCCAUAUCACUUAUUGAUUUCUUUCUCCGUUUUUUCUUGCGAUAUACAAUAUAAUGUAAAAUGCUUAACUCGAUAAUAAAGUUAACAUAAAAUUAUAAA